rnacentral:rRNA from 1 species
UACCGAGGGCGCAAGCGUUGUUCGGAAUUAUUGGGCGUAAAGGGCGCGUAGGCGGUGCGGUAAGUCCGCAGUGAAAUCUCUGGGCUCAACUCAGAGUCUGCUGUGGAAACUGCCGUGCUCGAGUGUGGGAGAGGUGAGUGGAAUUCCCGGUGUAGGGGUGAAAUGCGUAGAUAUCGGGAGGAACACCUGUGGCGAAAGCGGCUCACUGGACCACAACUGACGCUGAGGCGCGAAAGCUAGGGGAGCAAACAGG